GUUCGUGUGUUUGACUUCCGGCCAACAGUAAGUCCAUGUAGAUGGUGGGUCCUUUUUGGGCAUCACAAAUCCACCACUUAAAAUGUCCGGAAGAGGGAUCAUUUCUUCAACAAGUACCAUUUAGAUCAACUUGAGCAAGACACCCAGGCUGAGAGAGGACAAGUUUCAUACAUUUUGGUCUUGCAUGGAUAACUAAAGGGAAAUUUUGGUGAUUGAGCAGCAGCAAGAUGAAUUCCCUCAUAGAGGCUAGAGACUGGUGGUGGCGGCGGCUGAUGACUCUGCUGAAGGUGAUGAAAUGUUAAAGCUGAUGAAUCUGCCGCAGCAUGAACGUAGACAAGGCCGAGAGAGAAUCAUCUUUAAAA